rnacentral:misc_RNA from 1 species
CGCACCUUGCACCUCUUGGUAUUCUGAGAGGUACAUCUGUUUGAGUGUCAUGAAUCCCUCAAUCCACACAUUUCUCAUCGAAAUGUAUGCAUUGGAUGCUGAGCGCUGCUGUCUAACAACAGCUCGCUUCAAAUGUAUAAGCAAUCUUUGGCGUUUGACCGGAUUGACCUGACGUUAUAAGAACAUCGUUGGGGAUGCUUUUGAUAGCAGCCGGACAGCUCUAGAGUCGCUCCUAGACAUGUGUGCACAUUUAUGGUGCAUCAGAUCCUUACAUUUAGACCUCAAAUCAGAUGGGACUACCCGCUGAACUUAA